GCGGCUACCGUCGCACCUGAGUCGGUGACUGCCUGCCCGAGGCGCCGCGCGACUACCGGCUCUUCGCUGUUUCUGCUGCGCCACGAUGGCUGGGGCUGGCAGGCUCCAUCCCGCUGAGGGGAUAACCAGAUGCUGCUGCUGCUGCUGCUGCGUCCACCCUGUUGGGAUCGGCUGGAGGCGCCUGCCGCUCCUUCUGCUCUGCCUGCUGUUGCUGCUUGGGGCGGGCGCCGCUACCCAGGGGGAGAAUCUCCACGCCUGCAAAGAGUCUGAAUACCAUUAUGAAUACACAGCAUGUGACAGCCUGGGCUCCAGAUGGAGAGUUGCUGUGCCCCACACCCCAGGACUCUGCACUGGCCUGCCAGAUCCCAUCAAAGGCACAGAAUGCUCAUUUUCUUGCAAAGCAGGUGAAUUCUUGGAUAUGAAAGAUCAGUCUUGCAAGCCAUGUGCAGAGGGCACAUAUUCUCUUGGGACUGGUGUCAGGUUCGAUGAAUGGGAUGAGUUGCCUCAUGGAUUUGCCAGCAUGGCAACCAAUUUUGAAAUUGAUUACAACCUCUUGGAGUCCUUGGGAAACUGCACCAAAUCAACAUGGAUUCCUAAGGGAGAUUAUAUUGCCUCCAACACGGAUGAGUGCAUAGCUACUCUGAUGUACGCUGUUAACCUCAAGCAAUCUGGGACCGUCUCCUUUGACUACAUCUAUCCAGACAGUAACAUUGUCUUUGAAUUCUUUGUUCAGAAUGACCAAUGUCAACCAACUGUGGAGGAUUCUAGGUGGAUGAGAACUACAGAGAAAGGUUGGGAGAAACACAGUGUGGAGCUAAGUCGUGGCAACAAUGUCUUGUACUGGAAGACAACGGCUUUCUCUGUUUGGUCCAAAACCCCCAAGCCUGUGUUGGUGAAAAAUAUUGGGAUUACAGGUGUGGCUUAUACUUCUGAAUGCUUUCCUUGUAAAGCAGGCACCUAUACUGCCAAAUCUGGUUCUUCCUUCUGUCAGCAGUGCCCAGCAAAUUCUUUUUCUUCCAAAGGAGCUACUUCCUGCCAGCAGUGUGAGACAGCAAAUUACUCAGAACCAGGUUCUUCUUCCUGCAAGACUCGCCCAGCCUGUACAGAUAAGGACUAUUUUUAUACCCACACGACCUGUGAUACAAAUGGGGAGACACAGCUAAUGUAUAAAUGGGCUGAGCCUAAAAUCUGCAAUGAGGACCUCCCCAAGGCAGUGAAGUUACCUCCAUCGGGUGUAAAGAUGAUGUGCCCCCCUUGUAAUCCUGGUUUUUUUAAGACAAAUGCCAGCACCUGUGAGCCUUGCCCAUAUGGAAAAUAUUCAAAUGGGUCUGGUUGUACCAAUUGUCCAGUUGGCACCGAGCCUGCGCUAGGCUUUGAAUACAAAUGGUGGAACACACUGCCAGCUAAUAUGGAGACUACAGUCCUCAGUGGAAUCAGUUUCGAAUAUAAGAGAAUGGCAGGGUGGGAAGUGGCAGGUGACUACAUCUAUACAGCUGCAGGAGCUUCUGACAAUGAUUUCAUGAUUUUAACAUUGGUGAUUCCUGGCUUCAGUCCACCACAAUCAGUUAUGGAAGACUCUGAAAAUAAGAAGGUAGCAGAAAUCACUUUUGUCUUUGAAACCAUCUGCAGUGUGAAUUGUGAACUUUAUUUUAUGGUGGGUAUGAAUUCUAGAACCAAUUCCCCUGUAGAAACCUGGUUUGGCUCCAAGGGAAAACAAUCCUAUACGUACGUUGUUGAGAAGAAUGCUACCACGAGUUUCACAUGGGCCUUCCAGAGGACAGCAUACAACGAAGCGGGAAGAAAAUACACAAAUGAUGUUGCCAGAUUGUACUCCAUCAAUGUGACCAAUGUUAUAGAUGGUGUAGCUUCUUAUUGCCGGCAGUGCGCUUUGGAAACCUCUGGCUCAUCCUGUACUUCCUGCCCUCAUGGGCACUACAUUGACAAAACAUCUGGUAGUUGUUCUCCAUGUCCAUCAAACACUUACCUGAAAGCUCACCAACCUUAUGGCAAUCAAGCUUGUAUCCCUUGUGGCCCUGGCACAAAAAAUAACAAGAUGCAUUCUCUGUGUUACAAUGACUGUCACUUCUCAAUCAGCAUGAAGGAUAGGACUCUAGAGUAUGACUUCUCCAGACUGGCUUACAGCACCUCCUUUUUAGGAGAGCCAAGCUUUACUUCAAAAGGCCUGAAGUACUUUCAUCACUUCAACAUUAGUCUAUGCGGAAAUUAUGGAAAGAAGUCUGCUCUCUGCAUAGAUAAUGUCACAGAUAUUCAUCUUUUGGACAAAGACACUGAGUUCUCCAAGUCAACUUCAUCCUAUGUAUGCCAGUCCGUCAUGAUUCCUUCCGAAGUGAUGGGUUACAAAACCAUGGUCUCUUCUCAGCCUGUGAGCCUGGCAGAUACCUUUGUGGGAGUAACAACAAAAUCUACUCUGGACAACAUAACUUCUCAUGCUGAUUAUUUUCCUGCUAAAAAUGGGGACUUACCUGAUGUCAUAUUCUUUUAUAGAUCCAACGAUGUGACCCAGACAUGCCAUGAUGGAAGAGUAACUACCAUUAGGCUGAGAUGUGACCCCCUAAAAUUUGAGUUUGGAGCUCUCUCUUUACCAAGCAAGUGUCCUGAUGGAACCUGUGAUGGAUGCACUUUCCAUUUCCUGUGGGAGUCGGUUGAAGCCUGUCCUCUCUGUUCUGCAGAAGAUUACCAUGCCAUUAUCAGUGCCUGCGUUGGAGGGAUACAGCGAACCACCUAUGUAUGGCGGAAGCCAAAGCUAUGCGCUGGAGGCAUCCUGCUUCCAGAAGAAAAAGUCAGCAUCUGCAAGUCCAUGGACUUCUGGCUUAAGGUGGGGAUCUCAGCUGGGACUUGUACUGCUAUCCUGCUGACCGUCAUGACUUGCUACUUCUGGAAGAAAAAUCAAAAGUUAGAGUAUAAAUACUCAAAGCUGGUUAUGAAUGCUAGUGCCAAGGACAGUGAACUGCCUGCAGCUGACAGUUGUGCCAUCAUGGAGGGGGAAGACGUAGAGGACGACCUGUUAUUCACAAGCAAGAAUUCUUUCUUUGGAAAAAUAAAGGCAUUCACUUCUAAAGCUUCUCUUAGGUACAGUCAGGCAUGGCAGGACUCUGUGUGUAGGGCUGUUCUCAAUAAACUAAGAGGAAGACUCUUCCAGUGCACUGAUACCUCCCAGUAGAAGCAAAAUCAUGUGCGGACAUCUGGGGAAGAAACAUCAAAAGCAAGUUUCUGAGAACAUCUGAUGGUUUUGAUUCUGUGCCCUUGAAGACCUCCUCUGGCACCACCGACAUGGAUCUUUAGAAGUCGUUUGCCUCUCCCAUACCUUUCGUGGAGGAUGCUUUGGGAGUUCUCCUUGAUUAAUACUGGCACUUUGAUGAACUUGCCAUGUGGCCUUAUUGGAAUAUCUUUUAACUUCAGCUUCUUACUGUACUUUUUUAAGUCAAACAUUUUAACAUUCCUCCAAAAACAAACUGUGCCAAAUAUAAUUGUGGUUUUAAAAUUA